rfam:Aeromonas hydrophila subsp. hydrophila ATCC 7966, complete genome.
GCUGAUAUGGCUCAGUUGGUAGAGCGCAUCCUUGGUAAGGAUGAGGUCCCCAGUUCGACUCUGGGUAUCAGCA